AACUUAAACCAUUGGAAUCUCAUGCUACUGAGUCGCAUUCGCUCUUCUCUCGAUGCUGUGUGGUGUGGUAAGUGGCGACGGAAAACUGGACUGCUGGCACAAACACAUUCACUUGUUGUUUUGAUUGGCUGCUGGCAGACUUUGGGUGAUUUUGCAGCUCAAGAAGUUUUCGCUGUACGAAAAUCAUAAUUACGUUGUUCAAUCGUACCAAAACAUCCCAUUUUCGGAGGUGCUGCUGCUGUUGGUGUCGACGGGUACCCUUCAUUGGAUGGUGGACUUAUUUUCUUCGAUGUUGUCGGAACCUUUGCUGUGCGAAAUUAUAAUCAAGAUGUUUUCCCAUAAAAUCAUCCGACUUCUGCAGGUGCUGCUGUACUGAUUGGCCAGUGUCGAUGAGUGCCCUCCGCUGGGUGGUGGUUUAUUUUUCUCGCUGAUGACGAACUUUGCUGGCUGGCAAACAGCAACGAAAAAACAUAGGCCGUGUCGAUUCUUGUUUAGGCGAUGAAAUGACUGUUUGAUUGGUGGAUGUUUUUCAUGGCCGGAAGCGGAAACCGAAGACCGUCGUUGAACCUUUCGAGCGUUGGGUGGAGCAUACAAUGUGUGUAUUUGGCCAAUUGUACAGCCUGUCGAUCUUCGACCAGAGGCUGAUGUUUUCUGUUGCUUCCAACGACCGGGGAUCUGUGUACCAACCUGUCGACAUUCGACCAGAGGUUGAUACGAUGGAUGAAGCAAACGUGAUCCAUUGCUCGUUUUGAUGACCAACACCGAAGAUUAACCCGUCGACCUUCGACCAGGGGUUGUGUUUUACUCGAUUAUGCGAUCAAAGUAUCAACCUGUCGAACUUCGACCAGAAGUUAAUACCUGAUCUAAAUUGAUGAAUAAAUGAAUGAAUAAUCAACUGAUGAAAACUUGUUGA